rnacentral:piRNA from 1 species
UACAAAGUGGACAGCUCCAGACAGAGU